AUAAAUACAAAGCUAGGAUUCAGCCCUAAGAUCAGGGGUGUUAAACUCAUUCCAUGGAAGACCUAGUGCAGUGUUUCCCAAACUUGGUCCUUGGGGCUCCAAGGGGUGCGUUGGUUUUUACUCAAAUGCUACACAGCUGAUUCAAAUGAUCUUAUGUAGGCGAGGUCCUUACUAAACCUAGACAACCAGGUGAGGGGAGGUCCUUACUGAGACCUAGACAACCAGGUGAGGGGAGGUCCUUACUGAGACCUAGACAACCAGGUGAGGGGAGGUCCUUACUGAGACCUAGACAACCAGGUGAGGGGAGGUCCUUACUAAACCUAGACAACCAGGUGAGGGGAGUUCCUUACUGAGACCUAGACAACCAGGUGAGGGGAGGUCCUUACUGAGACCUAGACAACCAGGUGAGGGGAGUUCCUUACUGAGACCUAGACAACCAGGUGAGGAGAGUUCCUUACUGAGACCUAGACAACCAGGUGAGGGGAGGUCCUUACUGAGACCUAGACAACCAGGUGAGGGGAGGUCCUUACUAAACCUAGACAACCAGGUGAGGAGAGUUCCUUACUAAGACCUAGACAACCAGGUGAGGAGAGUUCCUUACUAAGACCUUGACAACCAGGUGAGGAGAGUUCCUUACUAAGACCUUGACAACCAGGUGAGGAGAGUUCCUUACUAAGACCUUGACAACCAGGUGAGGAGAGUUCCUUACUAAGACCUUGACAACCAGGUGAGGAGAGUUCCUUACUAAGACCUUGACAACCAGGUGAGGGGAGUUCCUUACUAAGACCUAGACAACCAGGUGAGGAGAGUUCCUUACUAAGACCUAGACAACCAGGUGAGGAGAGUUCCUUACUGACACCUAGACAACCAGGUGAGGAGAGUUCCUUACUAAGCCCUAGACAACCAGGUGAGGAGAGUUCCUUACUGACACCUAGACAACCAGGUGAGGGGAGGUACUUACUAAUCAGUGACCUUAAUUCCUCAAUCAAGUACAAGGUAGGAGCGAAAACCCGCAGCCACUCGGCCCUCCGUGGAAUGAGUUUGACACCUGUGCCCUACCUAGAUGGUCAUGAAAUACACCGAGC